AACGAACGCUGGCGGCAUGCCUAACACAUGCAAGUCGAACGAGACCUUCGGGUCUAGUGGCGCACGGGUGCGUAACGCGUGGGAACCUGCCCUUAGGUUCGGAAUAACUCCCCGAAAGGGGUGCUAAUACCGGAUAAUGUCUUCGGACCAAAGAUUUAUCGCCUUUGGAUGGGCCCGCGUUGGAUUAGCUAGUUGGUAGGGUAAAAGCCUACCAAGGCGACGAUCCAUAGCUGGUCUGAGAGGAUGAUCAGCCACACUGGGACUGGGACACGGCCCAGACUCCUACGGGAGGCAGCAGUGGGGAAUAUUGGACAAUGGGCGAAAGCCUGAUCCAGCAAUGCCGCGUGAGUGAUGAAGGCCUGAGGGUUGUAAAGCUCUUUUACCCGGGAUGAUAAUGACAGUACCGGGAGAAUAAGCUCCGGCUAACUCCG
rnacentral:rRNA from 1 species